rnacentral:rRNA from 1 species
GAUGAACGCUGGCGGCGUGCCUAAUGCAUGCAAGUCGAGCGAACAGACGAUGAUCUUGCUCCUCUGACGUUAGCGGCGGACGGGUGAGUAACACGUGUAUAACCUACCUGUAAGACUGGUAUAACUUCGGGAAAGCGGAGCUAAUCCCGUAGAAUAUAUUGAACCGCAUGGUUCAAUAGUGAAAUACGGUUGUUCUGUCACUUAUAGAGGGUUCCGCGCCGGAUUAGCUAGUUGGUGAGUUAACGGCUUACCAAGGCAACGAUGCGUGGCCGACGUGAGAGGCUGAUCGGCCACACUGGAAGUGAGACACGGUCCAGAGUACUACGGGAGGGAGCAGUAGGGAACCUUACGCAAUAGGCGAAAGUCUGACGGAGUAACGGCGAGUGAGAGAUGAAGGUCCUCGGAUCGUAAAGAUGUGUUAUUAGGGAAGAACAACUGUGUCCGGAAAUAUGCCCGUAUUGACGGUAACUAAUAAGAAAGCACCGGCUAACUACGUG